rnacentral:rRNA from 1 species
AUACCCCAGGUCAGGCGGGGCUACCCGCUGAGUUUAAGCAUAUAAAUAAGCGGAGGAGAAGAAACUUACGAGGAUUCCCCUAGUAACGGCGAGCGAACCGGGAACAGCCCAGCCUUAGAAUCGCGGCGGCCACGCCGCCCGA